rnacentral:rRNA from 1 species
UACGUAGGUGACCAGCGUUGUCCGGAUUUACUGGGCGUAAAGAGCGCGUAGGCGGUCUGACAAGUCCCCUGUGAAAGCCCCCGGCUUAACCGGGGAACUGCAUGGGAUACUGUUGGGCUAGAGUGCAGGAGGGGAGAGCGGAAUUCCUGGUGGAGCGGUGAAAUGCGUAGAUAUCAGGAGGAACGCCGGCGGCGAAAGCGACUCUCUGGCCUGUAACUGACGCUGAGGCGCGAAAGCUAGGGGAGCAAACGGG